GUGGGCGUGGCCAAGUGGACCAAGGCAGUGGAUUGUGAAUCCAUAAAGGGUGGGUUGAAUCCUCGUCAUUUUCC
rnacentral:tRNA from 1 species